AAGCAAUCCAUCGAAUCCAUCCAUUUUCAACAUGAUGAUACACAUGUUUGGCACAUAAUGAGAUAAUCGCAUCCAAAGCGAAUUACGUGCCUUCCAAUGCUGGAAAUUGACUACGCUAAGAAGACUAUUAGUGUUUGUGUUAUGUAUUUGUAAGUGGAAUGUUGUAAACGUAUGGGAGGAGAACGGAAUCACGAAAACGGAAGCCAAUGCAAUAAAAGCCAAAGCGGCGGUGCCAGAAUCGUGAAAACUGAAAGUCUGGCAAUAAGGAAGCGAAGGAGUGGAACUAAUGGUCGUUGCCCCGGGAAUACUAUUCUUUCUCAACAUUUGAAGUGUAUAGUGAAUAAUAAAAUACCUAGGUACUUA